CCUACGCGGGGCAGCAGUGAGGAAUAUUGGUCAAUGGGCGGGAGCCUGAACCAGCCAAGCCGCGUGACGGAAGACGGCGCCAGGCGUCGUACACUUCUUUUGUCCGGGAACAAAGGCCGCCACGCGUGGCGUUGUGAGUGUACCCGAAGAAUCAGGAUCGGCUAACUCCGUGCCAGCAGCCGCGGUAAUACGGAGGAUGCGAGCGUUAUCCGGUUUUAUUGGGUUUAAGGGGUGCGUAGGCGGUCCGGAACGUCAGCGGGAAAUGCCCGGGGCUCAACUCCGGCGAGCCGUUGAUACUGUCCGACUAGAGACGGCGAGAGGUACGCGGAAUGUGCGGUGUAGCGGUGAAAUGCAUAGAGAUCGCGCAGAACUCCGAUUGCGAAGGCAGCGUACCGGCUCCGGACUGACGCUGAGGCACGAAAGCGUGGGUAUCGAACAGGAUUAGAUACCCUUGUAGUC
rnacentral:rRNA from 1 species